UACGUAGGUGGCAAGCGUUGUCCGGAUUUAUUGGGUUUAAAGGGUGCGUAGGCGGCCUAUUAAGUCAGUGCUGAAAUAUCCCGGCUUAACCGGGAGGGUGGCAUUGAUACUGAUGGGCUUGAGUAGAGUCGAGGUAGGCGGAAUUGACGGUGUAGCGGUGAAAUGCUUAGAUAUCGCCAAGAACACCGAUAGUGUAGACAGCUUACUAGGCUCAAACUGACGCUGAGGCACGAAAGUGUGGGGAUCAAACAGG
rnacentral:rRNA from 1 species